GAAAGAUGGCCUUGGCUAUCACUCUGGGAUGGACCUGCGGUGCAUUAGCUAGUUGGUAAGGUAACGGCUUACCAAGGCGAUGAUGCAUAGCCGAGUUGAGAGACUGAUCGGCCACAAUGGAACUGAGACACGGUCCAUACUCCUACGGGAGGCAGCAGUAGGGAAUCUUCCACAAUGGGCGCAAGCCUGAUGGAGCAACACCGCGUGAGUGAAGAAGGGUUUCGGCUCGUAAAGCUCUGUUGUUGGAGAAGAACGUGCGUGAGAGUAACUGUUCACGCAGUGACGGUAUCCAACCAGAAAGUCACGGCUAACUACGUGCCAGCAGCCGCGGUAAUACGUAGGUGGCAAGCGUUAUCCGGAUUUAUUGGGCGUAAAGCGAGCGCAGGCGGUUGCUUAGGUCUGAUGUGAAAGCCUUCGGCUUAACCGAAGAAGUGCAUCGGAAACCGGGCGACUUGAGUGCAGAAGAGGACAGUGGAACUCCAUGUGUAGCGGUGGAAUGCGUAGAUAUAUGGAAGAACACCAGUGGCGAAGGCGGCUGUCUGGUCUGCAACUGACGCUGAGGCUCGAAAGCAUGGGUAGCGAACAGGAUUAGAUACCCUGGUAGUCCAUGCCGUAAACGAUGAGUGCUAGGUGUUGGAGGGUUUCCGCCCUUCAGUGCC
rnacentral:rRNA from 1 species